rnacentral:misc_RNA from 1 species
GCCUUCUUCAUGAUCCGGCUAAUAUUAGCGAUCGGUAGGUAUCUAUCUUGUUCACGGACAUUAGAAUUGGAGUUGGAGCGGGGGCUCAGCUCACCACUCUCAUGGCUGCCUCCGCCUGGGCUCGCCGGUGGUGCCUCCGCCGCCAUGCUCAAAACCUAGCUCAGGAAGAGAUUUGUAAAAGGGCGCGAGGGAAUAAGAAGGAUUGGAUUGGAACGGAGAAAGAGGAAAGAGAAGGGAUCGGACGCUGGAGAAGAGAGGAGAUAGGAG